rnacentral:tRNA from 1 species
CAGGAUGUGGCGCAGUGGUAGCGUACUCGCUUCGGAUGCGAGUGGUCGUAGGUUCAAAUCCUACCAUCCUGACCA